rnacentral:rRNA from 1 species
AUUGAACGCUGGCGGCAUGCCUUACACAUGCAAGUCGAACGGUAACAGGUCUUCGGAUGCUGACGAGUGGCGAACGGGUGAGUAAUACAUCGGAACGUGCCUAGUAGUGGGGGAUAACUACUCGAAAGAGUGGCUAAUACCGCAUGAGAUCUACGGAUGAAAGCAGGGGAUCGCAAGACCUUGUGCUACUAGAGCGGCCGAUGGCAGAUUAGGUAGUUGGUGGGAUAAAAGCUUACCAAGCCGACGAUCUGUAGCUGGUCUGAGAGGACGAUCAGCCACGCUGGGACGGAGACACGGCCCAGACUCCUACGGGAGGCAGCAGUGGGGAAUGUUGGACGAUGGGCGAAAGCCUGAUCCAGCAAUGCCGCGUGAAGGAUGAAGGCCUUCGGGUUAUAAACUGCUUUUGUACGGAACGAAAAGCCCCGGGUUAAUACCCUGGGGUCAUGACGGUACCGUAAGAAUAAGCACCGGCUAACUACGUGCCAGCAGCCGCCGUAA